rnacentral:tRNA from 1 species
GGUCAGUUAGCUCAGUUGGUUAGAGCGUGGUGCUAAUAAUGCCAUGGUCAUGGGUUUGACCCCUGUACAAGCCU